rnacentral:rRNA from 1 species
AUUGAACGCUAGCGGCAGGCUUAACACAUGCAAGUCGAGGGGUAACAUAGAAAAGCUUGCUUUUCUGAUGACGACCGGCGCACGGGUGCGUAACGCGUAUACAACCUACCUUUUAGCGGGGAAUAGCCCAGGGAAACUUGGAUUAAUGCCCCAUAGUAUAUAGACUUCUCCUGAAGUUUAUAUUAAACAUUUAUGGCUAUUAGAUGGGUAUGCGUCCUAUUAGUUAGUUGGUAAGGUAACGGCUUACCAAGGCAGCGAUAGGUAGGGGUCCUGAGAGGGAGAUCCCCACACUGGUACUGAGACACGGACCAGACUCCUACGGGAGGCAGCAGUGAGGAAUAUUGGACAAUGGGCGAGAGCCUGAUCCAGCCAUGCCGCGUGCAGGAAGACUGCCCUAUGGGUUGUAAACUGCUUUUACAGAGGAAGAACCACCCCCACGUGUGGGGGUUUGACGGUACUCUGCGAAUAAGGAUCGGCUAACUCCGUG